GCUCCGUGCACCCCGGGGCGGCCGAGCGGCGCGGACAGCGUGGGCCCGGGUCGCGCCCCCGCGAGCCUCGGACGGGGAGAGAGAUCUUGGCUACUGAGGGUGGCGCAUGAGCGGGGCCCCGGCUGCUCGGCUCCGCGGUCCGCGCCCCGCGCCGCUACCGGCCCGACGGCGGCUCUUGGCUCCUGCCCUGUCCGGGCCGGACUCUGCAACUCGCUCCCCGCGGAGCCCCGGCCUUUCCCGCUCGCCAGCGGCCGAUGUCGGUGCACAGAAAAUCGCCCGUGGCGGGAGUUUUCGGGGAGCCGGGGCACCAGGCUGACGGCACAGCGACAGCUGCCCAGCUUCGACACCGGCACAGAGACCGGCGGCCGCCCCUCGGGCGGCCUCACUGCCGGUUGUCCACGGAGCUCUCUCUAUGCUUCCCACAGCAGAGCGCUCCCCAGACCGGCUCUGCAAGCCCGCAGCUCCAACUGAGCCCCCGGCGGCGGCGGCUCCCGGCGCCCGGUGCCUCCACGUCUCCGGGCCUCUCCCCCGGCCGCCGACGUGCGGGACAGUCCCAGGAGCUGGCCGCGUUGGCUCGGUAGCCCUAGCGGAGCGGCCGCGGCCCGGGAGGAGCCGCCGCCGCCGCCGGCGCACGACGGUGACUGAUUCAGCCCGCGCUCCCCCCUCGGAAGGAUGGAUGUGAACGAGCUACUAAGUGUAGUUACUAAUAACAAUAACAAUAAAUUA